UACGUAGGGUGCGAGCGUUGUCCGGAAUUAUUGGGCGUAAAGAGCUCGUAGGCGGCUUGUCGCGUCGGAUGUGAAAGCCCGGGGCUUAACUCCGGGUCUGCAUUCGAUACGGGCAGGCUAGAGUUCGGUAGGGGAGAUCGGAAUUCCUGGUGUAGCGGUGAAAUGCGCAGAUAUCGGGAGGAACACCAGCGGCGAAGGCGGCACUCUGGGCUGGUACUGACGCUGAGGAGCGAAAGCGUGGGUAGCAAACAGG
rnacentral:rRNA from 1 species